AAAGUUAUAUAAUGUAAACAUUUUUUUCUUUUAGAUUUACAUCAUUUAGUAGUAGUUCAUUUAGUUUUGGUCAAGGUGGAGGUGGACGAGCUGGUGUUAGAAAAACUACAGUUUCAACAAAAACAAUUAAUGGAAAAAGAAUCGAAACAAGAACUACUGUAGAAAAUGGAGUUGAAACUGUGACUGUUCAUGAAGAUGGUAUUUUGAAGUCAAAAACAAUUAAUGGAGUGCCUCAAGCUAUUGAAUAUUAAUAAAUAAUGUGGUAUAACAAUGGAUUUAUUUUCCCUUCUGACUUUUGUUGCAAGCUAGCAUGGACCAGAAGUGGAUUUGUUCUAUAUUUGCUCUUAUAAGACAUAUCUUAUUAAAUACACUGCAAAGACUUUUUUCCUUAAUGAAGUAAGCUGCAUUCAGCAAUGUGGACCAAUAUUUUAAUUUGUACAGUUUGCCAAAAAAUUUAUUAAAUAUCAUUCUUAUAGUUUAUACAUAUUUCAACUUGUGUUUGUUUUAUUUUUAUUGCCUAGAUUUGCUUUGGUUAAUAUUUUCAUAAGGUUAUGUUGUACAUAAUUUAAGAAUACAUUUGCAUUCCUAUUUGUUGUUGAUGUGUUUAUCAACAAAUUGGAUAAAUAUAAACAAAUUCUAGAUCAACAUCUAAAAUUAUGAUAGCAUAAUGCUACCCAUUACUUCCAAAUUGUCAUUUUUUUGUAUUUUCGACCCAACUGCAAUUAUUAUAUUAUAUGGACUUGUACAUUCAACGCACCGUAGAAUAAAUAACAAAACUGAUUUUCACAUAGAGAUCAGUCAUACUUGUAAUCUAAUUUAGGUUUAGAUGAUUUUUAACAAAAUAGUUUAUAAUACUAAGAGUUUAAAAAGUUAGAGCUGUUAAUAUCUUAUGUUUAAAUAUUUUGUAAGUUAUUUAAGAAAAGUCUGUUGUAAAAGCUUAUGUUGUGAAAAAGUUUUGUUUCUGUUUGUCUGAAAAUGGAGUGAAAAUGUAGUAUAUGAUAUUCCAGUAAGAUUAUUGAAUGGUUGUGAUAAUGUUGAUAAACAAUUUAAAUGUACAAACUGGUUUAACUUGUACUUAAAAAAUUGAAAUAUUUCCAGAUUUCUAAAUGAAUGAAAAACGUUUUCAUUGAGAUAGUCAUUUCGUGAAGUUAUGAUAUUCUUUGUUCGAAUGCAUUCAAUAAACCUAAAAUUGUACUUGUCAUUGUAAAUAUAACAGAAAAUAAAUUGUUCUAGAAAUUGAAA